CGCCUUGCCAGCCCGCUCAGAAACUCAAAGGAAUUGACGGGGACCCGCACAAGCGGUGGAUGAUGUGGAUUAAUUCGAUGCAACGCGAAAAACCUUACCUACCCUUGACAUGUCUGGAACCCUGCUGAAAGGUGGGGGUGCUCGAAAGAGAGCCAGAACACAGGUGCUGCAUGGCUGUCGUCAGCUCGUGUCGUGAGAUGUUGGGUUAAGUCCCGCAACGAGCGCAACCCUUGUCAUUAGUUGCUACGAAAGGGCACUCUAAUGAGACUGCCGGUGACAAACCGGAGGAAGGUGGGGAUGACGUCAAGUCCUCAUGGCCCUUAUGGGUAGGGCUUCACACGUCAUACAAUGGUCGGUACAGAGGGUAGCCAACCCGCGAGGGGGAGCCAAUCCCAGAAAACCGAUCGUAGUCCGGAUCGCAGUCUGCAACUCGACUGCGUGAAGUCGGAAUCGCUAGUAAUCGCGGAUCAGCAUGUCGCGGUGAAUACGUUCCCGGGUCUU
rnacentral:rRNA from 1 species